rnacentral:tRNA from 2 species
GCGGGCGUAGUUUAAUGGUAAAACGAGAGCUUCCCAAGCUUUUGUCGUGAGUUCGAUUCUCAUCGCCCGCUCCA